CUCCUACGGGGCGCAGCAGUGGGGAAUAUUGCACAAUGGGGGAAACCCUGAUGCAGCGACGCCGCGUGAAGGAUGAAGUAUUUCGGUAUGUAAACUUCUAUCAGCAGGGAAGAAAAUGACGGUACCUGACUAAGAAGCCCCGGCUAACUACGUGCCAGCAGCCGCGGUAAUACGUAGGGGGCAAGCGUUAUCCGGAAUUACUGGGUGUAAAGGGAGCGUAGACGGUCAAGUAAGUCUGGAGUGAAAGGCCGGGGCCCAACCCCGGGACUGCUCUGGAGACUAUUCAACUUGAGUGCAGGAGAGGG
rnacentral:rRNA from 1 species